CUUUGGCUCUCCACCAGUUUGCAUCAGACAUCUCCAGGAUGGUGUACUCUUCAUCCUUCCUCAGCUCCAGGUCGUGGGGUGUCAAGGGUUUUAGGCCAAAGGGAAUCUUGUUCUCACCGUUCUUACUAUCCAGCACCUUGCAACCCAUGGCUUGUUUAACUUCCUGUUGGCAGCACAGCCACACCCCAUCCAUCCAGGAGCAAGGAUGGUACUUCUGCAUGAGAUCCUUGUUGAAGCGCACCACUAUGCACAACUUCUUUAUCCACUGAGCACGGACAUCGUCUGUCUUUGCAAAGAUGUACAGCGGCCCCUCAUCAUAAACGAUCUGUGGCAAAAAAAAAAACACCGAAAUCAGCAGUUUUGUCAAGUUUGUCUAUUACAGCAUUUCC